rnacentral:lncRNA from 1 species
GAUAAAUCAAAGAAAGCGAAGGAAAAAAAGGGAGAAAAGGAAGACGAAGAAGGAGAAAAGAAAGGCAAAGAUUUGAAAGCUAAAGGGAAGGAUGGUGAAGAGAAAAAGGAAAAAGAUAAGAAGAAAAAGGAAAAGGGGAAAGAAGAUGAUGAAGAGAAGAAGGAAAAGAAGAAGGAAAAGGAUGACAAAAUUGAUGUAGAAAAUGAUAAGGAUGGAAAAGAUGAUGGGGAGGAUGGUGAAAAGAAGAACAAGGAGAAGAAGAAAAAGGAAAAGAAGGACAAAGAAAACGAAGGAAAUGACGAUGAAGAGAAGAAGAAAAAGAAAGAGAAGGAGAAGAAAAAGGAAAAGAAGAACAAGGAUGAAGAAACAGACGCAUCAAAGGAAAAGGGAAAAGAUGAUGAAGUUGAGGAUGAAGAAGAAAAUCAGAAAAAGAAGAAAAAGGAUAAGAAGGAGAAGAAGGAGAAAGACAAGGAUCACAAAAAGGAAAAGAAGGAGGGUGGGAAAGAUGAUGGCAAGGUUGAAGUUUCUGUAAGGGAUAUUGAUAUAGAAGAA